CCUACGGGAGGCAGCAGUGAGGAAUAUUUGUCAAUGGACGCAAGUCUGAACCAGCCAUGCCGCGUGCGUGAAGACGGCUCUAUGAGUUGUAAACUGCUUUUGUACGAGGGUAAACGCAGAUACCCGUAUCUGUCUGCACGUAUCGUCCAAAUACGAGUCGGCUAACUCCGUGCCAGCAGCCGCGGUAAUACGGAGGGUUCAAGCGUUAUCCGGAUUUAUUGGGUUUAAAGGGUGCGUAGGCGGUCGGAUAAGUUAGAGGUGAAAUCCCGAGGCUAAACUUCGGAAUUUCCUCUGAUACUGUUAGGCUAGAGUGUAGUAGCGGUAGGCGGAAUGUAUGGUGUAGCGGUGAAAUGCUUAGAGAUCAUACAGAACACCGAUUGCGAAGGCAGCUUACCAAGCUACUUCUGACGUUGAGGCACGAAAGCGUGGGGAGCAAACAGGAUUAGAUACCCGAGUAGUC
rnacentral:rRNA from 1 species